GACCUAGGCAGUGUGAUGGCCAUGUGAGUGUCCUGCAGGGUGAGCAGAUCGGACUUGACGGAGAUGUGGGCUAGGUCGUUGAACCUCAGGAAACCCGCGAACAUAACCGAUAUGGCCGCUACCAUCAUCAGGUCUGGCAGUGAGGCAUCCGGCCCAGCGAAGUGAGCGGCCAACAUGCGGACAUGCUCUGGUUGCAUGCUUUCCCUGUGCAGCUUCUUCCCUUGCAGUGUGCGCCUGCCCAGGUCCAGUGUUUUUUUUUUAAGUAAUAUAUUACUUUUAAGGAAUAAAGAGGCCUUUUUGGCCUUUGGAAAUAAGGAACAAAGUGAGGCCGAUCCGUACAUUUUCAUUCCUUCAGCCAAAAACGUCCAUUGCUGCCAGAUUGCUCCGUAGUGUGCAGAACGUAGUAUUAUCGAUCAUAAAAUAGAUAUGAGGGGCCGUAAGAAGGUCAAGCCCGUGAGUCAACGCGGCAUAGCAGAAUGUAUGACCGGUCCUUCCAUAGACAAACACGCAAAAGGCAACGACUUGAACGCCGAACAAACACAAAAACAGCAAGAUAAGUCUGAAAUUUUUCCUGAUAAAGGCGUUUGGGACGGCGGUGCUGUUGUCGGUAAUGCAUCGGCAAUGUUGCUGCCAGCGGCGACCGAUGACACGGGCGCCAUUACCCCUGCCUUCCAUGGCGGUUGUGAUCAGCAUAAGCGCAAGCUGUCACCCAAUCAGCUUGACAACAACGAAUGCGGCGAGGCGCCCAACCCGAGCGCUCGCAGUGCCAAGCGGGCUCAGACACAGCGCAUCCGCAAGGGCAUGAGCGACGGUGCAUGGCGGGACAAGCAGAAGGAAAAUCCCCACAGAUGGCCGGUACAUGAUGAACCGGUAGAGUCCUAGUGUGCUGUGGUNNNNNNNNNNNNNNNNNNNNNNNNNNNNNNNNNNNNNNNNNNNNNNNNNNCUUUAAGGAAUACAUAACGGCGACGCUAGCAACUUUGUUACUUAGGUUGGAAUAAAUUGAGACCCCCCCUAAAUGAAAAAAAAAUCACUGCCCAGGUCCCGAACGAGGUUGCAUGCUGGGUGCUCCGUUGGUGAGGGGCGGCCCGCGAGAAAGAAAUGGCAGGCAAUAGCAGUG
rnacentral:lncRNA from 1 species